UACGAAGGGGGCUAGCGUUGCUCGGAAUGACUGGGCGUAAAGGGCGCGUAGGCGGUUGGUCCAGUCAGAUGUGAAAUUCCCGGGCUCAACCUGGGGGCUGCAUUUGAUACGUGCUGGCUUGAGUGAGGAAGAGGGUCGUGGAAUUCCCAGUGUAGAGGUGAAAUUCGUAGAUAUUGGGAAGAACACCAGCGGCGAAGGCGGCGCUCUGGGCUGGAACUGACGCUGAGGAGCGAAAGCGUGGGGAGCGAACAGG
rnacentral:rRNA from 1 species